AGCUUGUUAAGCGAAGUUACGUUAUGGGCAUGGUAUGGAUUGCUGUUUUUGAUGAUUUGUUGCUUUCAUUAACAGCAAAUUAUACCGUGCCCAUGACUGUAGCAUCACUCGGCAGCU
rnacentral:pre_miRNA from 1 species